rnacentral:rRNA from 1 species
UACGAAGGGAGCUAGCGUUGUUCGGAAUUACUGGGCGUAAAGAGCGCGUAGGCGGUUUAUCAAGUUGGGAGUGAAAGCCCAGGGCUUAACCCUGGAAUUGCUCUCAAAACUGGUAAACUAGAGUAUGGUAGAGGAUGGUGGAAUUCCUAGUGUAGAGGUGAAAUUCGUAGAUAUUAGGAGGAACACCGGUGGCGAAGGCGACCAUCUGGGCCAUUACUGACGCUGAGGCGCGAAAGCGU